GUGGUAAUUCUAGAGCUAAUACAUGCUAAAAACCUCGACUUCGGAAGGGGUGUAUUUAUUAGAUAAAAAACCAAUGCCCUUCGGGGCUCCUUGGUGAUUCAUAAUAGCUUAACGAAUCGCAUGGCCUUGCGCCGGCGAUGGUUCAUUCAAAUUUCUGCCCUAUCAACUUUCGAAGUGAGGGUAGUGGCCUCACUUGGUGUCUACGGGUAACGUCCCCCGUUGCUCGUCUUCACACGCCGGACCCCGGUCCGGCAACAUCACUGGUUCAGAGGAUGGUCCCCCCGGGACCGCAACUCUGAGGGGCUUCGACCCCGUAACGCAUGUCAAGUGAUGGGCCUUGAUCGCAAGGCUUUCGGUACAUGCUGACCGCCCAGCACGCGCUGGCGUGGAGAUAUGAACGGGGAAUUAGGGUUCUAUUCCGGAGAGGGAGCCUGAGAAACGGCUACCACAUCCAAGGAAGGCAGCAGGCGCGCAAAUUACCCAAUCCUAAUUCAGGGAGGUAGUGACAAUAAAUACUGAUGAUGAGCUCCUUUGGGUUUAUCAAUUGGAAUGAGUACAAUUUAAAUACCUUAACGAGGAACAAUUGGAGGGCAAGUCUGGUGCCAGCAGCUGCGGUAAUUCCAGCUCCAAUAGCGUAUAUUAAAGUUGUUGCAGUUAAAAAGCUCGUAGUUGAAACUUGGGUCUGGCUGACCGGUCCGCCUAACCGCGUGAACUGGCUCGGCCGGGCCUUUCCUUCUGGUUAGCCUCAUGCCCUUCAUUGGGUGUGCAGGUGAACCAGGACUUUUACUUUGAAAAAAUUAGAGUGUUCAAAGCAGGCCUAUGCUCGAAUACAUUAGCAUGGAAUAAUAGAAUAGGACGUGCGGUUCUAUUUUGUUGGUUUCUAGGACCGCCGUAAUGAUUAAAAGGAACAGUCGGGGAGAUCUGCAUUUUCAAGUCAGAGGUGAAAUUCUUGGAUUUUGAAAAGACAAACUACUGCGAAAGCAUUUCUCAAGGAUGUUUUCAUUAAUCAGUGAACGAAAGUUAGGGGAUCGAAGACGAUCAGAUACCGUCGUAGUCUUAACCAUAAACUAUGCCGACUAGGGAUCGGACGGUGUUAUGAUUUUGACCCGUUCGGCACCUUACGAGAAAUCAAAGUUUUUGGGUUCUGGGGGGAGUAUGGUCGCAAGGCUGAAACUUAAAGAUAUUGACGGAAGGGCACCACCAGGCGUGGAGCCUGCGGCUUAAUUUGACUCAACACGGGAAAACUCACCAGGUCAGGACAAAAUAAGGAUUGACAGAUUGAAAGCUCUUUCUUGAUUUUUUGGGUGGU
rnacentral:rRNA from 1 species